UCUGCCUACAGGUGUCCCAAAGCACAAGUCUUUUCUGUUUGUGUGCUCAUUUGAUUAAAAGAAAUAGACAGUGACUUCGCAUUAGUUCAACAGAAGUUCACAAACAUCCUUUGAGACACUCUGUAGCAUCUUAAAAUAUCACAAGCUGGACAGAGAUGGAAUGUUCUUAAGGAGUUCAGUCUUCUCCCCUUUAUCACUUAGUGUUUGGAUGACUGCAGAGCAUAUUUACAGUUGCUUUGGCAUUCUUGGGAGAGAGGUGCUAUUCAAGCAUGAGGUGAGAUUUUAUUGAGGAAACAAAAACCUCAUGGAGGGCAAAUUCCACCAGCAUAUUAAAGGCAACUGCUCCUUAUAAUUUCGGAAGGCUGCAGCCAGCAGUUGGAAAGACUGUGUUAGCAAUAGCAUCACCCAAGCCCCGAGAACGCAUCUUUAAAGACACUUCAGGAUUCUACAGAAGAAAGCUUCCACUGGAAGGUGAGGUACAGAUGGGGGUACCAUUUCUGUUUCUCUCCAGUGAACCUGAUUUUCCUGAUCUGUAAAGUCGAGGCAGUCACCUCUCCUUCACAAGGCACUUGGCAGGAUUAAGUGGAACAAGAUGGCAUCAAGUCUUUUGUUGGCUAGAAGAUGCUCAGUCACAGCCCAAGUGCCUUAUCUUUCUCCCAAAUGGAGGAAUCCGGAACCUACAAAGAAUCAGAGAUGUGGAAAUAGAUUCUGCUCUUAGAGGCACAUGACUGGUGCCCAGCGCUUCAGCUGCCCAGUCUGGAAGGGGAAGACCCACUCUACUACUACUACUGGCUUGAAGUAUAAACGUGUACUUCUAAGUGUUGCUAUCGACAGCCCAAGAGGUGCUGGAAGAGCUUUCCCUUGGAGGAACAGUCGCUCUCCUGGAAAAGCCAGCUUGCCUGGUUGGAGUUGAGCCAGAAAGGCUGACUCUCGCCCUGGCAAAUUCUCUGUCACUCCAAGGUCCAGGAGACUGGAAAAAGUGGCCAACAUCAGCGGGCCUCUUUCGGUACCAGCGUCUGGUUUCUUGUUUAUGUGCUGGUUGGUGGCGUAUCAUUACAACCAGUUUGAAUUCACCUCUUUCCACCACCUGUGACCAUCCCUGCCACAGCUGGCCUUCAGAAGCUCUCAUGCACCCAUGAGAUUUUGGGAUCUCCAGGGGACAGCCUUCUUCUUCCAAUGACUGUGUAUCACUUCCAAGGGAAGCCAAGGAGCAGUUUCCCCAGACAACUUCCCUUGCAGCCCUAAUAAGAUGUUGUUCUAGGAUCUGGAGCGCUGAACAUAAGACAGAAGUCUCUGUUCUCACGGAGCAUACAUUCUAGUUGGGAAUGCAGACCACUCCAGAAACAUGAAUGCGUGAGCCAGCAAUGUAAGUGCCGUGGAUAAAAAAAGAUAGGGUAUGCAGGAGAGAGUGAGGGAAGGCUACUUUAUACAGAUGGUCUCUCAGGAAAGCACACUGGAUAAACUUUAUGCUGCCCUCUGGCCAUCCACCUUAUUUCUCUCUUUUGGAACUAUAGGAUUGCCUCUUCUGUAAGACAUCCCCUAUUAACUUUCCACCUGCACUGAUGUUCCCUUCAGCUCAACUCUGCUCCAGCUUCUUCAUUCUUGGAAAGAUAUACGGUGAUAUCUUUGAUGAUAGCCUCCUGGAAGAAGGGUCCUGUCUUCCAUUUCUCUGGUUUGCUAUCAGAACAGGGGGUGGGGAAGACAGGGAGGAAACAAGCAUUUCUAUGAUGUGCUAGAGACAUUAACACAUUAGCUCAUCUCACCCUCACAGAGCUCCUACACACUAUUAUUACCCCCAUUAGAAACCAACAAAAUGAAGGCUUAGUUUAUCUAAAAGGUAAAUUAAGGUGCACCUCGAAAUGAUGCACCUGGGAUUUAAACCCUGACCUAGGUAGCACUGAGGCCUCUAUCCAUUUUUUUAAAAAAUAUUUUAUUUAUUUUUUUAAGAGGUGGGUUCCACACCCAACAUGGGCCUCGAACUCCUGACUCCAAGAUCAAGGGUUGCAUGCUCUACCAACUGAGUCAUCCAGGCCCCCCUGAGGCAUGUAAUAGGGUGGGUGUCCAUGAAGUGUUGUCAGUGAGUAAUGAGUACAAGGAAGGGAUGAGCUCUAUUUGUCAGAGAAUGGCCAUGAACAAGAUGUGGUUAGACUUCUCCAGUCUGCUGGAUUAUAACUCCUUCCUUUGGUACUAACCGAGUGACCACAGGCACUUCCCUUUCCCUUCCUGGGGCUCAAAACCCUUCUCUGUAAACUGAGGUUAGACCACAGGAUCUCCCAGGUCUUUUCCAGCUCUGACAACUCUAAGAAAUACAAUCUCCUACAAGGGAUGGUGGAGGGUGGAAGGCAGGGGGAAGUCAAGUGACUUAACCACAGCAAAUCUGAUUUUUUUAAGAGACAGAACACAAAGCACAACAUUUUGUUCAUUCAAUUAAAAUUCAGCAUAUACUGAAUAUGUGCCAGACCCUGGCACGUGCGAAGGAUAGAGACACACGCUUUUAAAAUACGUCCUCGCCCUAUAAUGUGUGUAAAGGGCAAAAUGAACAUGACAAGAAAUUAUUACAAUAAUAUUAAUGACUAACAUUUUAUGCGGCACUUUCUCUUUGCCAGAAAUCAUUCAGGGCACUUGGAAACUUUUUUGCUCAUUCUUCUCAGCCACCUAUGAAGUGGGUACUAUUUUUAUUCCUACUUUACAAGUGAGUAAACUGAGGCACAAAGAGGUGUGUGUCAGAGCUAUUGUGAACAUUAAUAAUGCAUGAAAAGUAUUUAUUUACAGGGCCUGAUAUGCAGAAAUUAUGAUAGGCAGAAAUGUCAUGCAACAUUGACUGGUGGUUUCAUUCCCCUUGAUAUUUCUGUUAUUCCCUGUUUGACCCCUCUGCCACUUGGAAUCAGUCACACACAGCCAGUUGGAGGCAUUUUCUGUAGAGAGCAAAGAAGGCUUUAGGGUUUUGAAACUCAAAAAUCUGUGGCUGUGAAGAAACUCAGCAUGUAGAGCAAACCAGGUGAGUUAGAGCCAGUUUUCCUGCCUCUAGGAAAGGAGAUAGGGGGAGGAAAGAGGUGUGCUAGACCCCCUGAGAAAUGGAGCACCGGACCUUGUUCCUCCUUUGAGCUAGAUGUCUGGCAAGUUGUGCGAUCAGAUAGCAGGUGUGCAGGUCAGAGGUGCCUGACAUGGCCCUGGACUUGUUGACUUGUUCCCUGGGCAUUAACAUGGUGAGAGAGCCCAAUGCCCUGGGUUUGAAAGCAGUUGCACAUAGAAGAGGUCUUAGCCCUGCAAAGUCCCCCUCUGGCCAGCACGGUGCACACAGCACAAUGAAUGCUCAUCUCCCUAGGAGGGGUAUGGAAGUAAAAAGAGGGUCCCUAGGUCUGAAGGGUCCUCUAGAAUGGGAACAAGGAGAAAGGCUGCCUAGGGGAUCAGCAUUGGGAUGUGGAUGUCUCACGGCUGCUGCAAAGAGGCAGCGGGGCAUAGAGACCAGGAUGGGAACUCCUUGAUGGGGGGGUGGAGGGGGUGGUGUCUGUUCGAUUUAAUUCACUGCUCCAGCCUGUGGGUCUGGGUCAGGUAAUAGGUGAUUGAUCAAUAUUUGUUAAAUGAAUGACCUUAGGUGGGUUGCCUCUAGAACCAGGCUGUUACGUUUCAAAUCUCAGCUCUGCCUCUUACUACCUGGGUAAGUCUUUUCUCUGUGCCUCAUGUGUAAAAUGGGCAUUAAAAUGGUGCAGAUCAAUACUGAUCUGAGAUCAAAAGAGAGAAUGCAUAAAGCACUUAGUGUCUGACGUAGCACAGGUGCUCAGUAAGAAUUUGCUCAUAGUAUGAGCAGUUGCCCUGAUCCUUGCCCUGUACCUCAGCGAUAUGUUAGGUCUCCCAAACCUGAAUUCAGAUGCAACCUUGAAGAAAAGUUGAGGACUCCAGAAUUGGCUAGGAUGGAAUUCCCACCACCAUGAUACAGUGGAGACUCCUGAUAGAAAUUACGCUAAGCACUUAAAAAAAAAAAAUUACUUUUCUUGCCCGAUGGAUUUUGUAGGCUGAUACUGAAUAGUCAAGAAGAGGGCAAGCCUGUAAAAAUUAGAUGUCCUGUGAAGACAUUUUAAAUUAAAUAGCUAGCAUUUUAAAUUAAAUAGCUUUCUUGCUUGUAUGCAUGUUUAUUCCCAGGACAACUUAACCUCUCACCUUACUUGUUUUUAUAGAAAAGCACAGUUUUUCAGGUGAGUUAUCAUUUGCAAGUGCUUCUAAAGAAAGCACUUCUAAAAGAAGAAGAACUGAACUUUAAGAAAGAGAGGACAAGUCUAGGAAACAGAACUCUGUUUUCUUUUUCCCUUCCAUUUCCUCCUACUGAAAGAGGUAUGGACUUUCCUGAAGAAAUGCAGUACAAAAAGGCUUUAUUUAUUGUUAAGAUAAGCUCUCUUGAAGGUGAAUAAUAAAUAUUAUCAUUAAUUUUUUAUUUAAAACAACCAUCCGGGUUUAUCAGGCUUCCUGCUUAUUUAAAAGACAGCAGGUGACCAACUCUCCCAUUUGCCCAGGAUUGUCCCCAUUUUGGCAUCAAAAACCCCAUAUCCUGGGAAUGCCAAUGACAAAUCAAGGAGACUUGAUUCCCCCUUUGCUCACUAUUAGCAAGUGAGGACCUGAAGACCCUGCAGGGAGAGGUGUACCCAGCUGGGAACCCCUGAUCUGACAAGAAGGAAAUGGGAGGGCACAGAGAAGACUUUCAGAUAGGGGCCACCGGACAAGCCAGAAAAUGCAUGUGUUGGCAUCCUUCCUAUAAUGUCCCUCACUUUGGGUCAGGAUUGGAUCCCCCAAAAGACCCCACAGGGUAGUUCCUGCAUCCCCACGUCACUGUCAAAUCUGCAUCCACAGAGCCCUGUGGGUGUCCCCACACAAGGGAGUAGCCUAGGCACGAGAGUUCCUCUGGGACACGUGGAGUGGCCACUCAAAGCCUCUGCAGUUGUCCCCUUUCCUCAGACCAGGUGUUUUUUGUUCUUGGGGUGUCCACAGACCUCAUGGGAUUGGCCCACCACAUGCAGAUCGAGUUUCUGGUCACAGAGGAUACAGUGCAGCUGUCUCCACACCUAGUAGGUGAACACGAGGGCCCAUCAGGGCUGUGGGCAUUUGGCUUUCAGGCUGGAUUCCUCCUUUCAUGGAUCAGGGUCUCCCAUGAGACUGUGGUAAAGAUGUUGGCUGGACCACAGUAAUCUGAAGGCUUGCCUGGGGCUUGGAGCGUUUGCUUCCAAGAUAGCUCAUCACAUAUCUGUUGACUGGAGGCCUAUUUCUCACCUGAGGACCUCUCUGUAGGGCUUCUUGAGUGUCUUCCUGACACAAUAGUUAGCUUCCCCCUGUGGUAAGCGAUCCAAGAGAGAGAAAGCAAGAAGGAAGCCACAGCGCAGUUUAAGACCCCACCAGGCACCAUUGUUUCUUCCAUAUUCUAUUUGUUAGAAGAAAGUCCACCCUGCCCUCUAGGGGAGGGGAGUUAGGGAGGGAAAAGAAUCAAAGGGUUUGUGUACACACUUUAAAACCAUGGAUUCCCAAAGCAUUAAAGUGGCUGGAUUGGCAAGGAGUUUCCACAAAUGAGUUGGUUCAGAUAGGAACGUAGGAGGAAGAGCAAGGGCUUUGAGACAAAUCUGAGUUUGAAACCAGGCUUUGAUCUCUUCCAUUUUCUGGGAUCUGGGGCAAAAUGAUCAUCUCUAAACCUUAGUUUCUUCAUCUGUAAAAUGAAAAUAACAAUAAUAAUUCUUCCAAAGAGUUAUUAUAAUUUAAAUGAGAUGACCCAAGCAGGGACAGACUCAAAUUGCAUAGGGCCUGACACCUUCACAACUUGACAGGGCCCUCUUUAUGAAAGGAGAAUGCAAAAUUACAAGGAUAAAUUAGGCACAAAAUGAACAUUUAUUUAGAAUUAGAAAUGUCAAAAACCCCAAACAUUUUAAAAGCUGGUAAAUACCACAAAUAUCACAAAAUUCAGAAAAAUGACAAUUAAAAAAGUCACCUAACCAUACCUCUUUAAAAUACAUUCUUUCCUACAUUUUAACUGCAUACUUUUUGAUCACUUGUCAACAUGACAAAGAUUUUGCAAUAUUUUCCAUAGUCAGGGGCGCCUGGCUGGCUGAGUUGGUAGAGCAUGCAACUCUUGAUAUUGGGGUCAUGAGUUCAAGCCCCACGUUGGGUCUAGAGAUUACUUAAGAACAAAAUCCUAAAAAAAAUAUAUCUUCCAGCCAGAGGAGAGAGAUAAUUUGGUCUUUUCUUAGCAUGGCUGAUCAAAAUUUGAUUUUGAUUAUUGAAAGUGUAUUAUUCAGUUUUACAACUCAUUAUUCAACAUGUCAGGCACCUUUUCAGGGUUGUUGUCAAAUUUGGAAAACCUCCAUCAGAUACUUAAUAUAUGAGCUUAGAGUUUCAAAUACUUCCAUGUAGUGAACUGAUGGCACCCAUUACCCUAAGCUCUUGGGAAGAUCUGCAUUAGGGAGGCUCUGGAAGCUUCCACUCCCUUGGCAGUCUUCCCCUGGAAGCAUGAGGCUGGUGUGCAGCAGGUGCUCAGGAAAUGGGAUAAGCAUAGGCAACCCUCAUUUUCCUGCUUCAUUUCCUCAAAGUCAGAGAUUUCUCCUCCUUCGUUCCAUCUUCUUCCACAGAAGCCUCUCCAGCGCCCCUCAGAAGGCCAGGACAAAAACACACCCUUGGGUGAGAAGAAUACUGGACUCUGAAUGAAAAGACCCGGGUUUUAGUCCUGUCUUUGUCACUUAACUGCGGGACUUUGGUAAAUUACCCAGCCUCUCCGUGUAUCAGUUUCUUCAUCUCUGAGAUGGGCAUAGCUAGGCCAGUGUCAUGGGUUGCUGUCUAUUAACAACAAAGCAAUUAUACUAACAUCAAAUGUUUUUAUUUGGUGCCUAAGAAAUCACUAAGGAAUCAGUUUGGACAUAUGCAGUGUUGAUGAGAAUCUUAAAUUCUUUGUUCUCUGUGGUCUAAAUGAAUUGGAAAUUCAAACUGGGCUUUAAUAAAAUUUGGCAUAAACACUGGGACAGCAAAAUUGUCCACUCUCUCCUGCAAAAAGGUACCGAAUGCUAGCUAUUACUGGAUAUGUGCUAGAGAUGGGGAUUACCCAGAGGGACAAGACAAGUCCUGGCCCUUCAGGUCUGUAGCACAGGUAGAUGAAACCCCAGACCGACAUCUGGAGGAUGGGCCCAGCUCCUGUUAAGUUUCCAACCUCAGCCUCCCUGUGCCCCAGUGUCUCCUUCUGCCAACAGGCAUGGCUAACCGCCGGAGAGGGGUGUAGACAUAAAGGACGGAGAGCCUGCACAUCUUGGAGAAUAUGGGGCCAGAGUCAUCAGAGGGUUGCACGGAGCUCUCCUGAGACGGGCUGUUCUUAGGGAUGGCUCAGGAAGCUUUGAAGUGCCGCCAGGACAAGGGAGGCUGCCCCAUCCCGGCGGUGCAUUCACUUGUGAUUUACUCCUCCACGUGGGCUCUGGAGUGCCAGUCUCAUAAAUACGUUGGCUGCUCAAUCCCGCCCUGGAACACAGACAGAGGGAGGGGGCCCACGGGGAGGAAUCACCAAAUUAAGAAGGUCCUUGGGAGUGACUGGCCUACAGAUAUCACUGAGCCCCCUAAAUUUCUCUCCUUAAAGCAUAAAUAUUUCCAACUAAGAUCACAGACUCCCUCCUCAUAAAAAUCAAUGAAACCACAAGGGAAAAUGACCUCUCGCUUGACUGCACCAGAGAUAUCUCAAAUGGAGUCACUUCCCCUCCCGCAGAAGCAGCUGUACUGGGGCUCAGGAUUUGAAACCCAGGCACUGAGAUUGAGAAUCUGAGGCUAAGUUAGAAAUCAGGUGGGUUGGAUGUGUGUCUAUAUCUCUUCUGACUUGCUGUGUUUUGUGAUGGCUUCUGUGCAACCCUGUUGCAACAGGAGACUUUUUCCUGGAGUCACACCUGGGAUCGAGCCCCAGCUCCUCCAAUUACUGGCUGGGUGUCUUUGGGCAAAGUAGGAUCCCUCCACCCCAGUCUCCUCAUGUAGUACGAGAAAGAUGAUAAUGCACAGUCUGCCUACCCCGCAGAGGAGAUGACAAA